CCUACGGGAGACAGCAGUGAGGAAUAUUGGUCAAUGGGCGCGAGCCUGAACCAGCCAAGCCGCGUGAAGGAGGACUGCCCUCCGGGUUGUAAACUUCUUUUGUAACGGAAUAAAGUGUUGCACGAGUCACCUUUUGUAUUUACGUUAUGUAUAAGAAUCGGCUAACUCCGUGCCAGCCGCCGCGGUAAUACGGAGGGUCCGAGCGUUAUCCGGAUUUAUUGGGGUUAACGGGAGCGUAGCUGGGUUGUUAAGUCAGUUGUGAAAGUCCGGGGCUUAACCUGAAAAUUGCAUUUGAUACUGGCAGGCUUGAGUACGGUAGAGGUGGGCGGAAUUCGUGGUGUAGCGGUGAAAUGCGUAGAUAUGACGAAGAACUCCGAUUGCGAAGGCAGCCUACUGGA
rnacentral:rRNA from 1 species